CGAUCCCGCCUCGGCGGGAGAGGAGCGGCCUAGGGUAAACCCGGUGACUGGGGCUAAGUCGUAACAAGGUAGCCGUACCGGAAGGUGUGGCUGGAACACCUCCUUU
rnacentral:rRNA from 1 species